rnacentral:lncRNA from 1 species
UCGUUCAACUCGUUCAUCCGUCUGGGUCUUUCGUUCACUCGGUCUUUCGUUCAACUCGUUCAUCGGUCUGGGUCUUUCGUUCAACUCUGUCUUUCGUUCACUCGGUCUUUCGUUCAACUCGUUCAUCAGUCUGGGUCUUUCGUUCAACUCGGUCUUUCGUUCAUUUGACCCGUUCUUUCAGUCAACUCGGUCAUCCCGGUCUUUCAGUCAGAUCAGUAGUACUGCUGCUGCUUCUCUAAGCCCCACCCACACACAGAACGAGGCGCGACGAUAGGAUAAGACAGGCAAGCAGUCCCUCUUCAGCCAAUCAAAAGAACUGAACGGAUUGAACGGGUCAUUUAGAGGGGGAGAACUAGUUCAUUUCGUUCAUCAAAAAGAACUAGUUCUUUUGAUCCGUUCGUUCAAGACCGACACACCACUAGUUACAGUAUUUGGAGGUCUAUCCACAAACAAAUCAGAACUAAAAUGGCAUUCAUAACACUCGUGAUGGUGUGUUCAUAGUAUAUUUGUGAUUGUUGUGACCCUAGUUGAGCAUGUGGUUAUCUACACAAAACUUUGCUCCUCACCCUGCUCAACAAUCCCUAGACAGUACAGCAACAUAAUGACCUCCGUGUUUAAGUAUGGUCAUUUGCUAAACAUGCCACAGGGCAGCUCAAAGGCCACUGCCACUGCCAGGAUCGCACUGGUGGUGUCCUUCCUGUACACCCAACAGGAGGUCUGAUGUAUUGUGCUAAUGUGUAGCAUGCUGCAUAUGCCGCAAGAGUUACAUGAAGUGAGAUGGUAAAAAUGCUAAAUGGACUUAGUUUUAUGCAGGGAUGGUUCUUGUCUUAUAAAAGUCCCUUUUACAUUAUGUCCCAUUUACGCAUGUCCAUUCACUGAUGGCAGAGGUUGCUCAUUAGUAUUGACCUUACCAUUCACACACAUAGGGCUCUAUUUUUCUUCCUCGCCAGCGACGUGGCGUAGGCGCGGCAUGAGUCAGGUCUGCUGCGCCGACAAGGCAUGCCUAAAGCACAUUUUGGUAUUUUGGUGAGCGGCGCAGCCCGGCGUAAGUAUCCCUCCUCCGUAACUCAGCUCCUCUCAGUGGCAUAAGUCGUAGAGAGGGCAUGGAGUGGGUUUAAUACAGCCGAGACCUGUUUUCGCCAAUCAGAACCGCUUCUCUCCUUGCCAUUAGAUCCGCCACUUGCAAGGCGUAUUACAAUUUUCAAGUCAAAGAGCUUAAGAUAUGUCUGAAGACAGCAACGCCACACGAUGGCGACAGAAGGCAGCCCCUAAACAAGUGUCACUGUAAGCGCUGCAAAGGGCGUCCUCCACACUCUCUCAUAUGAGCACAGAUGGAUUUGUGUGUGUAAGGUUGGACCCACUGGUAAGUCAAACACCCUGUUCCACCCUUUUUCCAAGAUACUUACAUAAAGUUGCAUAUAUUAAAAACUCACGUGACAAAAGUGGGUUGUGCGCACAGAUCACAACAUAAAUUCCAAUAAUGCCAUUAAAAUCUGAACCAUCUGUGCAUAAAGGACACAUCGCGCUCCGUGGCCUGGCUCUUUCUUUCAUAGAUGUUGGCAUAUAAAAUACUUUUUUUUGGUUUGUUUUGUUUUGUUAAAUAAGCUAGCAUGUAUGUACUGUAAAUUUUGUUUCUGUUGUUGUUUCUUUUCCCCCUUUCUCUCUCUCUCUUUUUUUUUUCUUUUUUUUUGGGGAUUGAUGUUGCUCCUGGGACAAGGGUGGGGCCAAUGGGUAUGGAUGUAAUGAGCUAAAGCAAAAAGAAAGAAAUAAAAAAGUUGAUCACAAAAAAUAAAUUUGGCUCACAAAACUGAAUAUUAUAAUAUUCGUAUGUAGACUUACAGUAAAUAACUCAUCUGAUCACUAAAAUAAAUCAUCUGUUCAGCCGCCGCAGCAGCAGCUGCAGGAGGACGGGGAGAGGACACGGGGGGUUUCAGCUGUGUUGAUUCAUUCAGGUUGCGUGUCCAAACGCAUGCCAAACACGCUCAUCAGAUCAGAUAUAGAUCAGAACAUAUCUAUAUAGAUUUGAAUGUAUGUGCUGACUCAGAAUAUUAGUUGUUAAUUAUUUAUUGCACUGAAAUGUGCCUGACACUGUGGAAACCUGCCGGUGAAGCAUCAGUGAGGUAUUCGCACUAGCUGCCAGUCCACCAAAAUACCACUAGACCAACUGCGCUACGCCUGCACAAAAAGCUGACCAGGUUUGAAUUGGCGAGCUUUCAGCGCACUUUCUAUGCCGCCGGCGGGCACGAAAAUGUCACUGUGACAGCUGAUUCUGUCGACACCUCCCCCUGCUGCGCCACCACGCCCAGAUUGGCGGACCUCGGUGCGCCUCAGUCCACAAAAAUACCAAACUGGCUGUACGCCGGGCUCCGCCAGACGAAAAUACCACUGCAAGGGGUAGGCCUGGGCGAUUUGGCAAAAAAAGGCACUUCUUUUCACGAUAUGAAAAAAUCCUCUUCUGUACUUUCACUGGUGUAGCUGAAGUUGAAGCUUCUGCUGAGGUAGAAGGCUUAGACCAUGAUGGCUUACGUUUAUCCAACAUUUGAGAGACAGCGCUGGCUUUCACAGCCUCUGCUUUUUCAGCCUGAAUGUAGUGAAUCUUGAAGCGAGGAUCUACAAGGGUUGCCAUGCACAGGAGGUCAUCAGUGGCAGCAUCAUCAAAUUUUUCAUUCAAGUAGCUGGUGACUGAACUCUUGAUGGUCUUGGUAAGGUCUGUGUCAGUGUCUUCUGGCUUUAAGACAUCUUCGUUGAAGAGCUGAAGGACAGGUUUCACACAAGAGACACUGACAUACGCUUCUGCAGAAAGGGCGUCAGUAAAGUCGACAAGUAGAUUCAGGGCCCUGUGGACAGACUCCAAGACAUCAAUGUCCUGCCAUGAGGGGAUCAGGUGCCUGUUUUUACGAUCAUCUGAUAAAACCUUUGCGAUGGCCUUCCCCUGCUCCAGUACUCUUGCUAUCAUGGCAUGGCGGGACCCCCACCUGGUAGGGGAUUCUGUUAUCAACCGAUGCUUUGGGAGUUUGAGUUCAUCUUGGGCAGCUGCAAGUGCCCUUUUCUUUUUCCAUGAGUAAGAAAAAGCACUGACCACUUUCUUGGACACACUGAUGGCUCUCUCAAUCCUCUUGUCCUUCAUGCUUCCCUCUGAAGAAAAGUAAAAAACAUAAAAAUUAAUCACAAAUUCUUAAUACAAUCACAAUAUCAUUACAUUUUACAUAAAUUAAGAAAAUAUAUUUAGAUUUUAAAAAUCAAAAUCUACAAAACUCCAGAACAAUAAAAACAAAAUGUUAUUUUGAACAUUUUUAAAAUGUUAUUCAUGAACUAUUAUCAAAUGUUACCAAGGGACAGCCAAAAACUUGAUAUAGUUUCAGACAGAUAUAGUGUCAUGAAAAAAAUAACUAAAAUAAUAAAAUAUGUAACCAAUAUGUGUUAUUUUUAUAGCUAAACAUAACAUGGAACAAAUUUCUUGUCAUUUACUUACCUAUAGCUGAAUGCAACCGGUGACCAAAACACUGCAGCCAAGUCCAGCCUUUGAAAAGCAACAGCUUUUUCACAAUGUUUGCCCCACUAUCCGUUUUGAUGCACACCUGUCAGUCCUCACUAAUGCCCCAUGACUCAAGUACGUCCUCUAGUCCCUGACUGAUAAUUUCAGCAGUGUGGUCAUCUGGAAAAUACACAGUCUGCAAGCAUGUGUUUUUAAGAGCCCACUCCUUGUCGAUGUAGUGUAUUGUGAGAUUCAGAUGUGCGACUCGACCAUAGGUCACUGGUAGUUGCGAAGCACAACACUUCUUUGAGCUCACCCUCCAGUUUUCCUCGGCAUUCGUCAUACAGCUGUGGCAGUGCAGUUUGAGAAAAGCAUUUUCUGCUGGGGAUUUCGUAUCUCGGGUCCAGCAUUUUGAUCAAAUGCUUAAAUCCAUCCUUCUCCACUGAGUUUAAAGGCAUCAUGUCUUUUGCCAGACAAAAAGCGAUCGCGUGUGUAAUCGCUUGUCUCCCCCUGGAAUGAUGCUCGUACAGUGCGGUGGCCGCAAAAUAUGACACGAUGGAUUGUUGCUGCAGUCUGGUGGCUGCACCGCUUGCUGACGCUAAGCUGCUAAUGCUACUUGUGCUAGCAGAAGUGGCAGGCUGUGCAGACUCUUGCAUUAACAUGCUUUCCCUACAAUCUCUUGGAUGGUACUUCUUUAGAUGAUUGAACAGAUUUGUCAUGUUGCCGGUUUUUGAAGGCACCGAACGCCGACAUACCUUACACACCAGCUUUAUUUUUUCGAUGUCACUAAGGAGAUAUCCGAACCACCGCCACACAACCAACAUUGAGCAACUUUUUUUUUCCAACAAUGGCAUCCUCGGGGGUGACUCCAGCCCGUGGCUUACAUCUUCUUCACUACCAUCUGUUACAUGUUUUGCCCCACGCUCAGCCAUUCUGUGUGCCUCUUCUGUUUACUUCUCCCGCAACUUACAGAAGUGAGCAGGAAAAGCUCAACUCAGAUUGGCUGUUGUGACGCGCAGUCCUGCCGUGAUUGAACUGAAAUUAAUCACGAUCAUCAAUCACGAUCAUAUAAUCGCCCAGUCCUUGCGAGGGGUCCGCCACCCUCUGCCGCGUGGCUCGCGGGCACGAAAUAGAGCCCAUAGACUGUAUAUAGAAUGGACGCUGUCUGCCUCUUUGCUGGGUGAAGAAACCUCGAGAACAGCACACUCUGGUGAUGGUCUGCAGUAUCGAUCAUAAAUCCCUCCUCCUCCAGCAAUCCCUAUGGAGUUGUGGACAAACUUCAGAAAUUAAUUACGCCGAUUAUAUUUUUUCUCCUUCUUGCUUGUGAUGUUGUCAUGUAGUUACUUUAAGACUGGUUUGUGCUCAAGUCCUCUUUUUCUAUGCAGCUCUAUUUUUAAAAGUUAUUCAGGAGUUCAGGUUUUCUACGAUUGAUGCUUGAUACGGUCUAUGGGUGUACGAAGAUUUCAAAGCUUACCCAGAGGAUACACUGUUUGAGCCAAGUGUCAUUGCAGUGACACUCAGUGACUCCCCCGCCAAGUGUGUACAACUCUACUGCGCACUGUUGGUUUCAGGAAGUGGAGAAAAAAAACGCUGAAAUACCGAGAGCUUUUUGGCUUUAAAUCUGUAUGUAAUCUGUAAAUCUGUUGCUGGAAGGCGGAACCAAGUUUUCCAUAGCGUAUACAGUCUGUGUUCACACACCACUAGCACAGCCACCUGGGGUAUUUUAGUUUGAGUGUAUUUGGAUCAAACCCUCAACCUUGAUUUUGUUGGGGGGGACAAGACAGGCUGGGUGGCAGUUCAGCUGCCCUCAAUUUCACAUGAACUGGGACACACAAAGAAAAGGUGUGCAGGAUCAGGCCUGGACAUAAGUGUGCAAGUACUCCCUCAAGGUUUUGAGGAUCCCAUCUAUCAGUAUGACAGCUGCACAGACUGGUAAAUAAAAGUUAUCAGGAGUGUAAGGCUGUCUAGAGCGUGUGUCUGAUUAUUGUUCUAUGGCUGGAUUUCCAUACACAGUGCAGAAAAACUCUGAGCAUAGAUAGUCUGUAUUUUAACAAAGCCGCAGGCCUUCAUUAUAAUUGAGGUACUGGAGGUAUUCAAGAAAUCAUUUCAGCCCUAGGAAUAAUAACAGUGAUUGGCAACUUAAGGAUGCACUCACAAAGCCUUUUGCAGAUUCCUGGAUUGUAGAGUGUGAUCCAGUAUUUAAGGAUACCAUUGUUAAGCCUAUUGAUUUUUGUGAACCAACAAAAGCUCAUGUUUUUGCCAUGUUGUUUACCAAUUUCAGGCAGUGAAAACCCAACAUUUUGCACCAAUUUUAAACAGUAGAGAUGAAAUGUCGGGUGUUGAUGUGGUUAUCCCUGGUAAUGCUCUCACUGUUUAAAAUUACUGACCAUUGUCAAAGAUUAAUCAGACUCAAACAUUCACUGCAACCAUUGUUUAAGAGAAAAAAACAGUCAGACAGCAUACUGUGGUAAGUACAUGGCACAUUUUCUAAAGGGAGUAACCAAUAAUUAAACAGAUAUUUUGACAUGUCUAUUAAAACAAAACAAAAAAUGGAGAAAACAAACAAAAAAAAAGCAAACAAACCAAAAAAAAAAACACUGCCAUUUGCAAACAUUGACUAUCUUGGUCUGAUGGCAGGUCAACUU